AUGCACAUGACAAGUAUGAGUAUCAACAAUCUAAGCUUGAGAAACAACAACCUCUCAGGUGAAUUUCCUUCAUUUCUCCAACACUGCCCGCAACUCUCCUUUCUUGAUCUUGCACACAACCAUUUCUUUGGGACUAUGCCAACAUGGAUUGGAGAUAAAUUGCCAUAUUUGGCUUUCUUACGACUACGAUCGAAUAAGUUUUAUGGUCGCAUUCCGGAGGAGCUUACACAGAUAGUUAAUCUUUCGUACAAUAACAUGACGGGGAGCAUACCUAAAUCUAUUGUUAACAUCAAAGGGAUGAUACUAGUGAAAGAUUACGAUGAUUCAUUUCAUCGUGCUUUCCGUUAUGGAGAGUCAAUUAAUUAUUGGUCCUGGUGA
rnacentral:rRNA from 1 species